rnacentral:rRNA from 1 species
UGGGGAAUAUUGCGCAAUGGGCGAAAGCCUGACGCAGCAACGCCGCGUGAGUGAUGAAGGCCUUCGGGUCGUAAAGCUCUGUCGGAGGGAACGAAUGCUCCUGAAGUUAACAGCCUCAGGAGGUGACGGUACCCUCAAAGGAAGCACCGGCUAACUCUGUGCCAGCAGCCGCGGUAAUACGAAGGGAGCUAGCGUUGUUCGGAAUCACUGGGCGUAAAGCGCACGUAGGUGGGCAGUUAAGUCAGGGGUGAAAGCCCGAGGCUCAACCUCGGAAUUGCCUCUGAUACUGGCUGUCUAGAGUUCGAGAGAGGUGAGUGGAAUUCCUAGUGUAGAGGUGAAAUUCGUAGAUAUUAGGAAGAACACCGGUGGCGAAGGCGGCUCACUGGCUCGAUACUGACACUGAGGUGCGAAAGCGUGGGGAGCAAACAGGAUUAGAUACCCACGUAGUCCCUGAGCGGGCUGGCAAGGCG